CUUUCUAAGGAGUUGCUCGGGGCGAAAGCCCAGAGCGACACCAGUCCAAUCCGUUCCGUUGGUCGAGCCGUUCUCGGCUCGGCGUGACUUCUCCGUUCGAGGGAAGUCGCCUUCUCGAUGGAUGAUGUUCGGUUUUCAGAGUCCGAGGCGAUCUCGGCUCUGUGAAAAAGAGCGCUUUGGAGCCUGUUCGGGCGUAGGCUUGAGAACCGUCUCGGGCCAGCCCAAACCGCCGGGCCUAUAGCUCAGCUGGUUAGAGCGCACGCCUGAUAAGCGUGAGGUCGCUAGUUCAAGUCUAGCUAGGCCCACUGUCUGAAAUCGGGGCCGUAGCUCAGCUGGGAGAGCGCGGGCUUUGCAAGCCUGAGGUCGUCGGUUCGAUCCCGAUCGGCUCCAACUAGGGUACCCCGGCGGGGCGGAGCUCCGCCGGUCCCCUCUUCGUUCGCCUUCGGCUCUGUGCGCGCUUCGCUUGCGGAGCGGCUUUGGGGCGUGGACGAAUGCGGAGGUUGGCUCAUGCCGGUUGGGCAUGGGUUGGCUCUGAAGUGUGCUGCCGGCCGUGGGUCGGCGGCAGGCGGCUCUUUGAAAAGAGAAUAGGAAUGAACGCGCACACGCGAGUGUGUGCGGAGAAGACGCCGAUGGGGCUCACGCGCGCGAGCACGUGAGCUUUAUCCACCGACGAGAAUAGGCGACGUCGCGAGUUUUUGAACGGUUGGGCCUUGGGGCCCUGUGUUCGACGAGCAGCGACGGUCAAGCUACGAAGGGCUGAUGGUGGAUGCCUAGGCGCGCAGAGGCGAAGAAGGACGUGGCUAGCUGCGAAAAUCUCCGGAGAGGUGCUAAGCAACCUUUGACCCGGAGGUGUCCGAAUGGGGAAACCCGGAAGC
rnacentral:misc_RNA from 1 species